UGCUUACACAUGCAAGUCGAACGAUGAACCUCUUCGGAGGGGAUUAGUGGCGAACGGGUGAGUAACACGUGGGCAAUCUGCCCUGCACUCUGGGACAAGCCCUGGAAACGGGGUCUAAUACCGGAUAUGACGUGCGACCGCAUGGUCUGUACGUGGAAAGCUCCGGCGGUGCAGGAUGAGCCCGCGGCCUAUCAGCUUGUUGGUGGGGUGAUGGCCUACCAAGGCGACGACGGGUAGCCGGCCUGAGAGGGCGACCGGCCACACUGGGACUGAGACACGGCCCAGACUCCUACGGGAGGCAGCAGUGGGGAAUAUUGCACAAUGGGCGAAAGCCUGAUGCAGCGACGCCGCGUGAGGGAUGACGGCCUUCGGGUUGUAAACCUCUUUCAGCAGGGAAGAAGCGAAAGUGACGGUACCUGCAGAAGAAGCACCGGCUAACUACGUGCCAGCAGCCGCGGUAAUACGUAGGGUGCGAGCGUUGUCCGGAAUUAUUGGGCGUAAAGAGCUCGUAGGCGGCUUGUCACGUCGGAUGUGAAAGCCCGGGGCUUAACCCCGGGUCUGCAUUCGAUACGGGCAGGCUAGAGUUCGGUAGGGGAGAUCGGAAUUCCUGGUGUAGCGGUGAAAUGCGCAGAUAUCAGGAGGAACACCGGUGGCGAAGGCGGAUCUCUGGGCCGAUACUGACGCUGAGGAGCGAAAGCGUGGGGAGCGAACAGGAUUAGAUACCCUGGUAGUCCACGCCGUAAACGUUGGGAACUAGGUGUGGGCGACAUUCCACGUCGUCCGUGCCGCAGCUAACGC
rnacentral:rRNA from 1 species